UGUAUUCAACACGCAUGUUAUAAAGACUUGCAUUAUUUAAAUGCAGAUGACUGUAUAAAAUAGGGACUGAUUACAAAAGGAAAAUCGUAAACUUGUGAAGUGUUUAUUUUUGAGAGCCGACAAAAUGACGCACGCGAUGUCUGCUAACAACAGUACGGUUCCAAUCAACGACACGAUUUCGCCCGACCACGAUGUCUUAAUUCAGGAACUGAAUGACAAGAUGGCGGACCUGAUGGUUCCCGCUACGGUUUUCAUUUCUACCAUGCUGGUUCUCAGCCUGGUAGGGAACCCAAUGGGUUAUCGGUGGUUUUGAUAGUGCUGUACAGCAUUAUCGGGCACACAAUUUUUAUCCACAAGAAAAGAUUAAUGAUGUACAAACCGAGAAAAAACCGAGACCCGCCGUCGACUGAAGUUGAAACGUCUGUAAAUGACUUCAGUCAUACGGCGGACGACAACCUAAAAGAAAAUGAGAAAGGAGAAAUCAAAACGCCAAUCUCAACAAAAUCUCUUGUUCCAAGCAAUGAGCAACAUUCAACUGCAUCCAAGCAAUCGACACACGCGCAGAAAGAGUCAGGCAUUGACAGCGAGGCAGUGAAAAUCACCGUCGUCAUGGUUAUCGUUAACCUAGUUUUCAUCAUCAGUUAUUUACCGUACCUCUCACUGUGUGUUUGGGUCGCUUUGACUCGCCAACACGAGUUAACUAUUCUGUCCGGAUCCGGUCUCGUUUUGGCUAAAAUUGGGUCAAGGUCAUUUCUUCUUAACAGUAGUCUCAAUCCGUGGAUUUACGGAAUUUUCAACAGCAACUUUAGACAUUUUUUCUUUGGUUGGAUAUGUUGGAAGUGAUGACAAUAUUAAAAAGCAUACUUAUUUUACGAAUUUUAAGUUCCCUUGAUUACCGUGAAUGACGUAAGACUGAAUUUAUUUCGUGUUAUAGGGCGACUAUUUGUCGCCAAUAGUUGACGUUGUGCGUUUUAUUGACUUAUAAUUGAAUCUCACUUGCAUGUGUAUACACAAUUUAAAGACGAUGCAUGCAACCUAUUCAUGCUAUUUAUUCCAGAUAAAAAUAGUGGUGUGCACUAUAUAUGGUUUUUAAAUCUUUUUGAAUUCUUUUUUGUUUAAAUGCCGACUGGAAAUGAUAUAUUGCAACACUUUAUUUUAAAAUACGCAAGGCUUUUAGUCCCGAGAUAACACAAGCAUAAACCAACAUAUUUCAUGUUUUUGACCUUUUGGGAAAUUAACUGUAAGUUAAUCAAGCUAAUUUGCCUAACUAGUUUUCUCUACAAAUACUAUUUUAAUCAAGCUUUUCAAAAAUUUCAUGUACAAUUUUACAAAUGUAAUCGUUAAUUUAAAAUCAAGGCAACACGCAUUAAUACUUGUUUGUAUUGGGUUCGUUAACAAAAUCCCCCAAGCAAUUUACUGAAAAUGAGACUUUUGGCUUCUUCGAAAUCGCUUUGAUAAACCUCGCUGAGUGUCAGAACUAAACAACAUCUUAGCAACACAUACUAAAUUUAAUUGUGGUGUCUCAUUUGCAAAUUUACUUCACUAACCCCUUUAAAAGAACUUCAUCUGCGUUCAAUUCAUGUGAAGUGUACCCAAAAUGAGGAUUUGGGAAAGCGGUUUAUUUAUCGUUCGACCUAUGGACUUUAAUUGGAUUUUGUAACUGUCUCAGGGCGUUUAUGUUAUUGAAAACUAUCAAGCUUUAAAAAUGUUUUAUUGUAUCAAGUCCGGUACAUAAAUAGGUUUUAAAUAUAAUUGUUAGUGAGUUAAAUGUAGCUUUACUGAUCAAGAAACUAUAAGUACUUGUUAGCAAAUACAUAAUGGUAAAUCAGGAGGCCCUGAUUAUCUGCUAAAUGAGUUGUGUGUUUUUUUUUAUUUGGUACUUUUUUAAAAUAAAUUCUUUAAAUAUGGACAUUUUCCUGAAGGGUUGUGUGAGGCUUUAUUGUUCCGUUACAUAAAAAAGGUUAAAAACAGGAUGUAAAUAAUUUCAGAGUGAUAACAUUUUUGAGUACUUUUGCGAAAUUAUUCACUAAGGUCAUUAACAAUAGGCUGAACAAUUAAGCUAAUUGCUAUCAUGUCUAGAUUGUGGCAGAGGCAGGAUUCAAGCCAAAUAUGGGAACUGAUGAUAACAGUUUUGUAUAACAAGGUGUCAUUAAUUAUUUACUAAGUGAAAAAGAUUGUAUGCCAUAUUUGUUGCUUAUACCAAAGCCUUGAUUAUUUAGUGAGGUAUAUCAUCUGUUAUUUAUAAACUGUUGAAGUAAGGCGUUAGAGGAAAUCUGUUUGAUAUCAAAAAAUCUAUCUAUGUAUACAAAUGUGAAAUCAAGAAUAAAACUAGGUAACUCAAUAAGUAAUGAAGAUUUUUUGUCUGUUGUUUUAGGAGUAAGAAAAGGAAAAUCAUCAUCACCAUUCUUUUGUUCAAUUUAUUUGAAUCACGUAGAUGAACAUUAUAUGUUAAACGGCUUUAAAAGAAUAGAUAUUGGUAUGCUUAAAUUAUUUGUGUUCUUAAAUGCAGAUGACACUGUCAUUAUGGCAGAAACUGAGGAACUACUAAUUAAAGGUUCGUCUUUUUUAAAUAUUUUUGUGAUAGUUGGUAACUAUGUUUUAACACAAAUAAAACAUAUUAUGGUGUUCAAAAAAGGGGGACAUCUUAGGUGGGAUAUUACAUUUCUGUACACAAACCAAGCUCUAGAAAUUGUGAAAUCAUUUACAUACUUAGGGAUUGUAUUCACUACCGGAGGAUCUUUUUUGCACUUUUGAAAUACGUGAAGGCCAAACCUCAAAGGCUGUUUUUAAGCUUUACUCAUUAUUAAUAAAUUAUCCAACACUUUCAAUACAUACAAAAUUAGAAUUGUUUGUUCAGCUUGUUUUACCCAUUUUAAAUUAUGUUUUUUAGAAAUCUGAGUUCACUUAAAUUUUUGCAAAAAACUACUAUCCUUGAAAAUUAAAACACGACAUAAUUGUUUAUAUGAAGAACCUGGAAGAACAACCUUAAUAAGUUUAAAAGCAAUUUAUGUAAUACAGUAUUGGUUGAAAAUUAUUUAGUUAGACGAUAAUAAGUACGUAAAGUGUAUUAAUAGACACAUGUGUACGAAUUUAAUAAAUAAUACAAAAACAACAUUAUUGGACAAAACCUGUUUAUAAUCUGUUGCAAACCUUCUGUUUUUAAUAUGCAUGGCUAAACCAAGGUGUAGGUUAUAAAAAGGGUUCUAUCCUUGGUAAAGUCUAGAUUAAAUGAUACAUUUAUCAAAAAUUAAACAUCAGAGCUAAGUGAUUCUUCAAGAGCAAUAAGUUACAUGCAGUUUUGUAAAUUUGAAUUGCAACCCUACUUAAAAUGUUAGAAUAAAUAAGUUUAGAUCUGAUCUCUAUAGAUUAAGAGUUUCAUCCCAUAGAUUAGAAAUCGAAUAAGGCAGAUGGCAUAAACCUGAAGCUAUGCCUUUCCAAGAUAGAACAUGUCAACAUUGCAAUGUCUAUGAGAAUGAAUAUCUUUUUUCUUAUUAGAAUGUGUCUUAUAAGUUAUAUAAUGAUAUAAGGAAAUUGUAUAUAAAUGAAUAUUACUGGAAAAGACCAAACAUGAUAAAAUUUAUUGAAUUAAUGAAAUCUAGUAAUACAAGUACCAACAGAAACUAAGCUAUUUAUGUAGAUAAGGCAUUUAGUCAAAGAAGACUGCAUAAAUAUUAAUUGAUUAUUUGUAUAUAAUUCAUUAUUCAAACUUAACUUCUCGCUCUUUUGUAGAUUCGUCUUUGUUGUUUUUGAUGUUAUCGUUAUGGCGUUAAUUGUUUACUAGAUUCUAAAUGCUUUGAUAAAGAAAAAAAACACUCUUUGUUGUCCAGGACCUUUUCAUGUAUUGAUACUUUAUUAACCAACGAAUGAAAUUCAAUACUGAUCACACGCCAUGCCUUUAUAUAUGCUAAUAUGU